CGCCAAUGAUCUUGGUGGAGUUUCUGGAUAACUUGCUGCAGCUUCUCUAUCAGCAUGUGGUGAGACCAACUACAGUUGAUCACACUGAGGCAAAAGCAAGGCUCCUGGCAUGGUGGCCGAGAGGGGCUGUGGUUGCCGUUCCUGUGUUACCUUCACAUGUGAGAAGAGUGCGUGACAAUUUCCAUCCCUGCAGAGAGUUUGAAGACAAUUUCAACAGGAGCUAGAAAGUCUUUUGGAAAAUGUUUCAGCUGCCUUAGAAAAUUUCAACCAAGAUGCCCAAACUCCAGCUCAGCUUAGAGAAGACAGCUGUCCCAGUUUUCCUUGUCAAGGAAGAGAGCCUUAAAAUUGGGGAAGUGAGAUGCAUGAAGAUAUGAAGAAGACAUUACUGAGUAGGUGAAAAGGUAGAAAAGGAGAGGCCAUGGUAGACACAGUCUCCAGCUCUCUUACUUGGGGCUCCCUAAUAGCUCCUUAAAAAGAAGAUGCCAAGGAAGAACAAACUGGUUCAUUGCUUCCUUUUCUUGGCAUAGGGCAUAGGGAAAUACAGGCAGAAAAGAAGAUCAUUGAUGGUUCUAAUACUGUACAGUCAGUACAUACCCCAAUAUAGCCUCCUACCAUACCACAUAAUGUAUAAAAGAUAGAGUAUUUCUUAAAUUGAUAAUUGAUUUUUGCAAAUAUCUUAAAAUCUGAAUAAUUUUUGGUAUUAUGCAUUUUAAU